rnacentral:tRNA from 1 species
GUUCCCGUAGCUCAGUAGGAUAGAGCGAGCGCCUCCUAAGCGCUAGGCCAUCGGUUCGAUUCCGGUCGGGAACG